CGCAUCUGUGCAUGCAGCAUAUCAAUAAGCGGAGGAAAAGAAACUAACAAGGAUUCCCCUAGUAACGGCGAGUGAAGCGGGAAGAGCUCAAAUUUGAAAUCUUAAAGGGUUUCCCUUUACGAAUUGUAGUUUAAAGGAGUGUUUUCUGUUGAGGUUUUGGUAAAAGUUCUUUGGAAUAGGACAUCAUAGAGGGUGAGAAUCCCGUAUUUGACCUUUACUUUCAACUUUGUGAUACACUUUCAAAGAGUCGGAUUGUUUGGGAAUGCAGUCCAAAAUGGGUGGUAAAUUUCAUCUAAAGCUAAAUAUUGGCGAGAGACCGAUAGCGAACAAGUACCGUGAGGGAAAGAUGAAAAGAACUUUGAAAAGAGAGUUAAACAGUACGUGAAAUUGUCAAAAGGGAAGCGUUUGACACCAGUGUUGUUUUUCUGAAAAUCAAUUAAAGAACUGUUUAUGCUAAGCUGUUUAGACUUUAUCAGCUAUCUGUUUAGUUUUGAGCUUUUCUUUAAUGCACUUUUCAGUUAACAAGUCAACAUCAAUUUCUUUUGCUGUAAAAAAGCUUGAGGAAGGUGGCUUGAGAUUCGUCUUAAGUGUUUAUAGCCUCUUGCCUAUGCAGUCGGAGAGAUUGAGGUCUGCAGCGUAGAUCCUUCGGGGCUAAAUGCAUUUGUGCUAAGUUAUAGCAUUUUAUAGACAACUUGUUGACUAUGAUUUGUCUUGUAGCUUACUCGCUUAUGUUAUUUUACCUACGCUUAGGAUGUUGAGUCGUAGAGCACGCAG
rnacentral:rRNA from 1 species